rnacentral:pre_miRNA from 13 species
ACAAUGCUAUAAUCUCACUUCUCUUCCCAGUUCUCCCCAGAGUCGGGAAAAGCUGAGUUGAGAAGGGAAAAAAUAAAUGAUA